AGCGGCGGACGGGUUAGUAACGCGUGGGAACGUACCCUUUUCUACGGAAUAGCCUCGGGAAACUGAGAGUAAUACCGUAUAAGCCCUUCGGGGGAAAGAUUUAUCGGGAAAGGAUCGGCCCGCGUUAGAUUAGAUAGUUGGUGGGGUAAUGGCCUACCAAGUCUACGAUCUAUAGCUGGUUUUAGAGGAUGAUCAGCAACACUGGGGCUGAGACACGGCCCAGACUCCUACGGGAGGCAGCAGUGGGGAAUCUUAGACAAUGGGCGCAAGCCUGAUCUAGCCAUGCCGCGUGUGUGAUGAAGGCCUUAGGGUCGUAAAGCACUUUCGCCAGGGAUGAUAAUGACAGUACCUGGUAAAGAAACCCCGGCUAACUCCGUGCCAGCAGCCGCGGUAAUACGGAGGGGGUUAGCGUUGUUCGGAAUUACUGGGCGUAAAGCGUACGUAGGCGGAUCAGAAAGUAGGGGGUGAAAUCCCGAGGCUCAACCUCGGAACUGCCUCCUAAACUCCUGGUCUUGAGUUCGAGAGAGGUGAGUGGAAUUCCAAGUGUAGAGGUGAAAUUCGUAGAUAUUUGGAGGAACACCAGUGGCGAACGCGGCUCACUGGCUCGAUACUGACGCUGAGGUACGAAAGUGUGGGGAGCAAACAGGAUUAGAUACCCUGGUAGUCACAACGA
rnacentral:rRNA from 1 species